CAUUAAGAAGCUAAAUUAGCAUUAACCUUUUAAGUUAAAGAUCGAAAGCCCAAACUUUCCUUAAUGG
rnacentral:tRNA from 1 species